CAUGCAUAGUUCAUCAUAAUGAGACGACGUUUCCAGAAAUACAUAAAACAGAAAUCCUUGUAGUUUAUUAUCCAGUAAGAGAUGAUUUAAAUGUAACAGUACCAAUUCUAAUUGAACAUCAACCAGACAUUUUGACAUGUGAGGUUUCUGACGGCAAUCCCUUGCCCGACGUUUGGUGGACAUGCAGCGAAAUGCCUUAUGAUAAUGUUACAUCGAUUGUCACACAUAAUUCAUCUACUUCGAUCUUGCAUAUAACGCCAACUGCCGAUUACCACAACAAAAUGUGUACCUGCAUCGGGAAGCAAAAUAACACAACGUUUGAAGAAAUUUCCAAAACAUCAGUGUUGCAUGUGUUAUAUUCAGUAAGUCAGGUGACAGUGUCUUCAACUGACCUUUUGGCUGGACUCCGAUCUUAUCUCAUAUGCCGGGUCGCAGGUGGUAAUCCAAGACCAGAUGCAAAAUGGUUUUGCAAUGGCGAAUUGCAAACAUAUUUUUCAAUUAGAUCACCAGACGCCGUCUUGGCACUAAUGUCAUUUAUUCCAACUGCAGCGCAUGAAGGCAAGCGAUGUACAUGUGUUGUAAGCCAGCCUGGAACGAAUUUCCACGAAAUGUCAGAAUCCUUGGUUCUACGUGUAAC